rnacentral:lncRNA from 1 species
AGAGGGAGUUUUUCACAUGUCAACAGUCUAGCCGCUCUGUAAUUAACAGUACUCUUUGGCGGUAUUUUUUGAAUUUAGAUUAAUACUUUUGAGUGUAAAAAGUCUCGAUUUUCUUAAACAAUUAUAAGCAGAAAAUGGAUAAAAAGCUAGUUCAAUUUAGACUGGUGGAGAAUUAGAAAACUUUCUUGAUAAUGUGAAAGAAGUACUGUACCAGUAAAUAUAAAACUAAUUUAUUCUAUGAAUAACUGAUAAGGUUCAAAUUAAAGUACACAUGAAUCAUCAACCAGGUUCACUUGGAGCAUUAUGCUUGGAAUUACUGGGAACUCUUAGAAGAGUUUUAAUUAACACAACAGUCAGAUAUUAGAUUAUUGUAUGAGAGCCUUCAUGUAUCUGCAGAAAUCUGCAAUUAUCUGAUGCUAUCUUUGAACUUCUAACACAAACAUCUUUCAACUGUAACACUGUGUUGAGUAAAAGCUGUUUACAAAAACCUUUAUCAGUGUUGUGUUUGUUACAAAUAUCCACUAACAUUUUCGACAUCCACCGAGGUCUUCUUCAGGUGGUGAGUAAGCGUUGUUUCCCUUGACCGUUAGAACGAUGCCUCUUUUUAUACCUGAGAUGUAAAUAUUGUGUGAAUCACGUUUCACCCAUCCGCUUGUCCCCGUUUGAAUUCUUUGAAUAGGUAUCUCCACACCUCCACGAUCGUCUCUCCGUCUUUAAAGUUGAUACAGGUGCCCUCAA